AUAUCUCCUUUCAAUUACAACCAAAAAUUCUACUUCGUUCUAAGCACUUCACUCUUCAGGUGAGUUUCUUAAUCUCCCCCCUAAUUUGUGUUAUUUUGCAACCUUUUUUCACAUCUCUUAUCAAUUUAUGAUUUUAUCGGAAUUUAUUGUUCUCCCAGAUUGGAUUCCGCUUUGCUUAUGUAGUUCCCAAUCGCAUGCACUUAUUUGCAGGUUGAACCCUCUCAUUUCAAUUUUAGGGAUUAUAGUGUAUCAUCUUUUCUGAUUCUACUUUGCUGAUUGUUAGUUUCUUGCUCUCUUUUAUCUGAGAGAACAAAAUUUCUGUUACUCCUAUGCGUGUUCAUAGGAUUUGCUUCCAUGGCCUUCGCUUUUAGCUCUGGGUUUUCGUGUCCGUGAAUUUAGUGAUAUUUGAGCAUACUAUCAUCUAGACCAGAUUGUUGUAUGGAUUCUGGGUAUCAAUCAAUCAUUUGGCUAAUGCAAGUUUGAUCUUGUAGAUUUUAGGGUAAAAAAUAUGUGGGAUUGGGUUUUUGAAUUUUAGGUACUAUUAUAUGUUUAAACCAUUUCAGAUAUGCAAAGGCUUGUUUGUGAAAAGGUGUGGAAAUGUCAUUCACUUGUUCAAUAAUAAAGAGAAGUGAUAUCUUGUAUGGCAAAUUGUGAUUGAAACAAUGUAAUGUCUAUUAGGUGAAUUAGGUUUGAAAUCAUAUUGCAUUUUAGCUAUCUCAUAAAAAAUAUGGCCUUUGUUCUCUUUGUUAUGUCAUUAAUUUACAUAGCUGCUGCUGCUGCUAUUUUUGUUGUUUUAAUAUUGCAUUGGACUUACCUGAUGCUGAUCUCAAAUCACUAGAUUUUCUUUCUCUGUGCUUAUGCAGCAGGCAUUGUGAUAGAAUAAAACCAAACUUUUGAAUAUCAGUGUGGUUGGUUUACACCUUCAUCUUAUCUUUGACAGCUUUGUUAGAAAUUAGAAUUGGUUUUGAUUUAGUAUUUUCUUCUUAUUUAAUAUCCAUAUAGCAUUAUGGUAAUGAGAUUUUUUGCUCCAGCCCUUUUUGCCUGAGCACGGGAAAACUUGCCUUUUUGGCAAUCUUAGUCUCUGGGAAAAUUGUCUUGCAAAUUUUGGUCCGUGUUCUUCUCAUUGUUAAUAAAUACAUCACAUCUUAUUGGUAACGAAGUAAUUGUUGCUUACCUAGUUGCAUCCGUGUUAUAUGACAGGCAUGCGCUUUGUAUAAUAAUUGGUGGCCGAUGCUAAGUGGUGAGAUAAAGCAUCUCUGUAUUUAUUUCUUGAAGAUUUAAGGGAAUGAGAUGUUAAUGUGACCGAAAAUUCCUGGUUUAUUAUUACAUUUGGUGUUUUGUUUUCUUGCAGCUAUAACAUAUGUGCUACUUCCAAUGCC
rnacentral:lncRNA from 1 species